rnacentral:rRNA from 1 species
AUGGAGCCGACCUUGAAAUACCACCCUUUAAUGUUUGAUGUUCUAACGUUGACCCGUAAUCCGGGUUGCGGACAGUGUCUGGUGGGUAGUUUGACUGGGGCGGUCUCCUCCUAAAGAGUAACGGAGGAGCACGAAGGUUGGCUAAUCCUGGUCGGACAUCAGGAGGUUAGUGCAAUGGCAUAAGCCAGCUUGACUGCGAGCGUGACGGCGCGAGCAGGUGCGAAAGCAGGUCAUAGUGAUCCGGUGGUUCUGAAUGGAAGGGCCAUCGCUCAACGGAUAAAAGGUACUCCGGGGAUAACAGGCUGAUACCGCCCAAGAGUUCAUAUCGACGGCGGUGUUUGGCACCUCGAUGUCGGCUCAUCACAUCCUGGGGCUGAAGUAGGUCCCAAGGGUAUGGCUGUUCGCCAUUUAAAGUGGUACGCGAGCUGGGUUUAGAACGUCGUGAGACAGUUCGGUCCCUAUCUGCCGUGGGCGCUGGAGAACUGAGGGGGGCUGCUCCUAGUACGAGAGGACCGGAGUGGACGCAUCACUGGUGUUCGGGUUGUCAUGCCAAUG